rnacentral:rRNA from 1 species
AUACGUAGGGGACGAGCGUUGUCCGGAAUUACUGGGCGUAAAGGGCGCGCAGGCGGAUAUUUAAGUCAGCUGUAAAAGGCAUGAGCUCAACUCAUGUAUGCGGUUGAAACUGGGUAUCUAGAGUGCUGGAGAGGUAGGCGGAAUUCCCGGUGUAGCGGUGAAAUGCGUAGAUAUCGGGAAGAACACCAGUGGCGAAGGCGGCUUACUGGCCAGCAACUGACGCUGAGGCGCGAAAGCCAGGGGAGCGAACGGGAUUAGAUACCCCGGUAAUCCUGGCCGUAAACGAUGGAUGCUAGGUGUUGGUGUCGAGAGGCAUCCGUGCCGGAGUUAACGCGAUAAGCAUUCCGCCUGGGGAGUACGAUCGCAAGAUUGAAACUUAAAGGAAUUGACGGGG